rnacentral:lncRNA from 1 species
CAAAAGCUCACACUCAGUCCCAGGAUUAAGUUACUAAUCACUUGAUGUUGUCUUAAUUGAAAGGCAGAUUACCCAGACUAGUCCCUUCUGCCUUCUGGGCAGGUCACAUCUGAAAGAUUAUCCUCUUUGAAUCAGUUUGAAUGUUCUAGUGACCAGGCCACACAGUUUCUCUUGACAUUUAAAAAUAAAGCUUCCAGUCUUGUCACUAAUGGAUUUGGGGUCCAGUACCCUUAAAAUCACCUCAGAGCUGCCUGAAUCCAUAGACUACUUGCAGAAUCACUGGUUUUACUUGGAUCAAGCCAUCUGAGAAGUUUGGCUGAAAUAAAAACUCAAAGCCCCCACAAUAUUGAACCACCAUUCCAGACCCAGCCAAGGUUUGGAACAUAAAGUGAGCUGAAUGAAUCAGCCUGCAGGCAACCCAGAGAAAGUAAUUGUUCAUCCUAGCAGCACGGCUGCUUUUCUGCUUAGCAUCUGAACAAGUUAAUUUGGAAACACAGCCUUCUGGAAAGAAAUGGCGCUUCUCUCAGCAUCCCAUGGAUUCAUGAGCAGCUCCUUGAAUGCAAAUAUUGCCUGAUAUUUUCAUGGUGAGGGAGAAUGGGAGAAACAAGAAAUGAUUACAUUAUUGUGGAUACUUUUAUUCACCACAAUGGAAGUCUUUAAACAUAAAGUUGAUGUACAUUAAGAGGCAAGACCCAGGGCAUAUCAUCUAAAGAAGAUUCCUCCCACUUUUCUUCUGCUUACACCAAUCCAUCCAACCAUACAUGAAUUUAUAUUCAAUGUACUCAAUUUAUUCAGUGUAUAAUAUUGCUUUGUGAACUAUGGGAAAUAUAAAUAUGACUCAGUUUUUCCCCUCAA